UUAAUAUAAUUUUACAGUCUAAUAUUAGAUUUAACAAAAAUUUAUUCAUUUAUUUUGUAUUGCAUCUAUUGCUAGGCCAAUAGCAACUAUUUGAUACCAUUGUAUCUCAGGAAUAAUUGCCAACUCUUCUCCUGGAAAAGGUAGCCUAGAUACCAUAGGAGUUAUGGAUUCCAGCCAUCUCUAUUGUAACUUGGGAGCACAUAUGGAAAAAAUCUUAGACCAAUCAAUAAAGAAUAUAAAAUUUGCACAUAUAUUAGGUUGAUUUAUUAGUGAGUAUGCUAACUGGAAUUUAAGAUUUGUUGGAUCUGGCAAUUUGGAGAGGGAUUAUGCGUACCGGGUUGAUUAAUCAAAGCUUGGACAUAAUUGUUGCCCACAGUUGAGUGAGGGGAGAUGUAAGGGCUUCCAUUUUAUAUUUUAGACGACCAAGUCCCAACAAUUAGUGAAAUAGAAAUAUUGAAGUACACAUAUUUGUAUACACCUAGUUUAGUCAUUCUCUAACUACAUAUCUAGGAGGGUCUGGCAGACAUGCCCUUCACCAAGAAAUUAAGAACUACAUUGGGGAAUCAAAUAUCAUUUUGUCCUGGUUACUCACAUCAGAAGGUAAAUAAAAAUACGAUGGAAGAUACUACUGUGGAUUGAGUUCGUUAAUUUCAGUAGGAAUAAUGGGCUUAAUACUUGAAAGAUGCAGAGAUGGUCCUUUUUAAAAUGUCCAUAUUUAGGUCUAUUUGGUUGUGGAAAAUUCAGGUAGGUCUGGUAGAAUAUCUGUAUAUUCUGUAUAUUCAUAAUAUAAUCAUAAAAGUCUACAGGGACCUUGAUUAUCCUAUAGAUCCUCACUAUGGUCCAUUACAUGUACGACAUUAUGUUGGUGAAAAGGAAAUGAGCAAGUACCUAGCUAUCUCAGUAAGAAACAGUAAGAAACAUAAGCCAGAGGAUGGGAAAUAAAAUUUCAGGGGGCAGCUGCAUUGGUAAAGUCUCUAAGGAUUGAAUAUCUCAGAAAUGUUAAGAUAGCUCCUUAGAUGAAAGGGAUUGUUCUACCUCGUACCGCUCCAUACAAAGAAAGAGUCACAAUUGGGGGCUUCUCUGAAUAUCAAAGUCAACAUACUUCAUACUUGGAGAUGCUCUUUCAAUUCAUUUACUGAUUAAUUGCAGAUCUUGAAAGGGUCCCGGAAUAAAAAAAGGAUUUGCAACAAGUUGAAAUUUCAGGGCUUUGACCCAGUAGACCAAUUACACUUAAAGGAUAAAAGGGGAUGCUACAAGGAGGCUCUGCUAUGUCCCAAAGAGAACAUAACGCAGAGUUCUAGGGUUUUGCAGUAAGUUUCUCCUUUGUGCUGCACUCUGUGACUAAAGCAGAGCAUGAUAGUAGUUCCCCUACCAAAACUAGACUGUUGUAUUUCCAGAUCUUUGAAGAGUGUUUCAUUGUUUGUUUGGAUGAUAUCUGGAUAGUCCAAUGGUAAAUAGAACAAUGUCUCUAGUGCUUAAACUAUAUGGGUGUAUCCACAGUUGGAUAGGCAAUGGUUCUGCCAAUCAGACGCCCCUGACUGGUGACUCUUGAGGGGCUACUUUGCAGGACCAAUCACUUUAUAAAGUUUAAACCAUAGGGAGUAGCUAUAGUUUUGAAGUCCCUUUUGUCUCCAUUUUUAGAAAGUUCUGAGCCCUCUCUUUAUCCCAUAGCUUAGGUAUUAAGCAGUUAGUGCAAUCCCACCAGUUCUUUGGUCAGUUGAAGGAUGCCCCCAUUCCCACCUUCCCAGUGUUUUAUUUUAUAUAAAUUAAGGUUGGGAACAUCAUAGAUCUCAUCAUAUUCAUGUUCUUUAUCUGAAAGUUAUUUUAUAGCCUUAUAAUUAGGAGACUCCUUAAAAAAGUAUAUCGAGUGACUCUGUCAGGUUUACUUGGUACCUUUAGAUGUGACUUACUUUUCUAAUGGGAGGGCCAUGUGUUUUUGGCCUUUUUUUAUCUUAAUUUCUGUAUACACAGAACGUGGAGCACCCUAGCAACACUAUUUGGUUUUGGACUAAUGUACUUAGUUUCAGAAGAAGAUAAAGGAUGAAAUCAAAAGCGUUAUUUCUCCCAUAUCAGUUAGCAAAUUGUAGCUUUAAUCUCCCUCUCUCCCUCAUGGAGACUUUUCAUUUCUGGGAAAAUCCCUUCAAGAUCAUUAAUAAUAACAAAAGAAGGUUGUCUUUGGUCCCUGGUGUAUGAUACAAUCAACAGAAGAGAUAAGUAACAAAUUAGUAACCUGUAAUUCAAAUCCUCAUCAUUGAUAGAUCCCACUAUCCUCUGAAUAAUUUCUUAACCUUCCUUGGAUAUGUUCUUGAUCUCUAAUCCCUUGGUUCCCCUUUUGAAGCCUAUGGUAAGAUGGGGCAAGAUGUCUAGCUUUCUGCACCAAAUUGUCAAACAAAUGAGGAUAAAUGACCCAAGAACACACACACCAAGCCUGGAUGUCUGUAAAGAGACACUUGUGAUAUAGGAGGACUAGCAGAUUUGCAGUGCAGCCUGAAAAGGCACUCUGGAGGAGCCCACAGGAAUAUAAGGCAGUUAGAUAUCAGACUCUAAGAGCUGGUCCCCUGGCAGAAGAAGUACUAUCACAUGGUCUAGACUGCAGGCUGAGUAUUGUAGUCAUAGUCCUAUGAUCUGAUAGAACUUUGACCAUCCGCACUGAUUUGCCAUAUUACUAUUUUUGGUUGGAAGAGUAUAAGCCUAGCUGCUAUGAUCAGAGAUUUGGGUCCAUGCCUUGUGUUGUACAUCUAUGACAGAACAAAUCCUUGGCUUCCAACCCUGAUCCACUACUGCCUUAGCAUUCUUAUAGAAUUGAAUUCCUUAGUACUUGUUUGUAUCUCUUUUCUGUGGAGUGGUUUGUAUUUCCAGUUGGUUCUGUUCUGCCAGCAGCCACCACCUGUCAGAAAGACCAGUCUGUAGGAAAUCAGUUUUAAAAAAGUUAACUCUUCUUACCUCUCACUUAGACUCUCCUAAGAGAAAUGCUGAGAAACAUUAAGUGUUUGAAAGAAACAACAAAACAAACUAUGGAGGUGGCAUAGUCAUAUGGGAGAUGAACCCUUUAAAAAAUGAGAUCAGAUUGAAACACACUGCAUAGUAUUUAUGUAUUGAUGGUGUUGUAGCAAUGAUAGGAAGGUAUAAAAGCUUUACACAUUAAGAUCAAUUUGAAAAAUCUGAAACUGAAGUAAUAUGUUUUUCUCUUCACACAGAAUCUCUUAUGUGUAAAGGUGUGCCUGGAGUUCUGCAAUCCACAUUAAAUAAUGUUGUCAAAAUGAUAAAUCUAUUCAAGAUUCAAGCCUCAACCUUGCAAUUCUAUUUUCAGUUUUAUUUAAAGAAAUAGGAUCAGAACACCAUACUGUACUAUUUCCUACUGAAAUAUGAUGAUUAUUUAAAGAAAACAUUCAUCAAGUGUUUGUAAAUUAAAAGAACUGUAGUGAGUGUGUGUUGGUGGGGGAGGGGGGUUGGCAAAUGCAUCUGUGUGAUUCUCACUUAGGAGAAAUUAUUGAAUGAGAUCUGUUGGUUUCCAAAAAUGACCCACCUAAUGGAAAUUUUGGAACAUCCAAGUAAAAUUAACAGAAAAAUAAAAAGACAAUUAUAUAUAUAUUUGUAUGUUCAUACUAAAAAGGUCUGUGUUUUCAUAGUCAAAAUUAAACUUGAUAAAAAUGUAUUUAAAAUGCAUUCUAAUAAUAUUUAAUUUGAGUUAGAAUUUGAAUCCUGAACACUAUAAAAAUUGAUGGGGAAAAAAAAAACCUAUGUAAACUACAGGGGAAUCUUCAAUAUUGUGUGCAUCUUAUUAGUACCUUUUAACGGACAUAUACUUGUGUAAGUUUAAGGUGUGUGAAGUGUUGAUUGUAGUAUGAUUAUCACCAUGGCGUUAGCUAACAUCUCUAUCAUGUCAUGUAAAUAUUAUUUAUUUAUUUAUUUACUUACUUAUUUAUUUAUUUAUUUAUUUAUUGUGGUUAGAACAUUUAAGAUCUCGUCUCUUAGCAAUUUUGAAGUAUAUAAUGCAGUAUUGUUGACUGUAAUCACGAUGCUGUGCAUUAUAUCUCUAGAACUUACUCAUUUUCUGGUUGCAAAUUUAUAAUCUUGGACCAACAUCUUCUCAAUUCCCUGACUCCCCAGCUCCUGGUAACCACCAUUCUAAUCUCAGUUUCUAUGCAUUCACAUUUUUUAGAUUCCACAUGUAAGUGAUUUCAUACAGUAUCUGUCUUUCCCUGAUUUAUCUUACUGAGCAUAAUGCCCUCAGGGUCCAUCUGUGUUGUUGCAAAUGGUAGGAUUUCCAUCUUUCCAUCAUAUAUCAUAUGAUAUAUCACAAUAUCAUAUGUCUUCUUUAUUGAUUUGUUGAUGGAUGAUUAUGUUGUUUCCAUAUCUUGGCUAUUGUGAAUAAUGCUGCAGCGAACAUAGGAAUGCAGGGAACUUUUUAAUAAUUUAGUUUUUAUUUCCUUUGGAUAUGUACCCAGAAGUAGGAUGGUUACCUCAAUGAUAGUUCUUUUUUUUCCCAUUCUCAUCUGUAAGUUUGGUUGCUUUUUUUUUUUUUAAUGUUUAUUGCUGAUAGAAAGCUUGAGUAGGAGAAGGGUAGAGAGAGAGAGAGACAGAGGAUCUGAAGCAGGCUCUGCGCUGACAGCAGCAAGCCCAAUGUGGGUCUCAAACUCAUGAACUAUGAGAUCAUGACCUGAACCAAAGUUGGAUGCUCAACCGACUGAGCCACCCAGAUGCCCCAAUCUGAUUGUUUAAAAUCAUUCUUAGGAUCAGAGGGUGAUUAUGUACUUCUGCCUCAUAUGGAAUAAUUUAAACUUUUUAUAGAUUAUAGUCCAAACCAUUGAUACCAAUAAACUUUAUUUGAUGCCCAUCUUUAAAAUUAAAGGAGGAAUUAGUCAUAAAGAUAAUAAUAUUCCUGUUUUCAUUUCCUAAGGGGUAGAGAAUUGUAUUCAUUCAGGGACUAUGGUUAGGGAAGAUGACAGAGAACAUGAUAGAUGAUGUCUUCAAAUUCAGAGAAAAGUAGUUGGGUUUUCCAUUGAUCAUGAUCAUCACCAUGUCUGUAAUGUAUAAGCCUUCGAAAGCCUUAGAGAAAUAUCUUGGAUCUCUUCUACCACGUGAGGAGAACAUAGUGAAAAGAUGGCCAUAUAUGAACCAGGAAGUGUCCUUCACCAGAUACCAGUCUGUGGGCACCUUUCUCAUCAACUUCUCAACCUCUAGAACUUGCCAUUUCAUGUAGGUUUUGAAUCUUUGUUCAUGAUGUUUCUCAUCCAUUCAAUGUCCCACUUUGUACACCUGGGAGAUUUGCACAUGAACUUUUGUUUUGGAUUUUCUUAUUUUGUAAUCUGCAUCGUUUGUGCUGACAUUUCCUGCUUAGAGGGAUGAUACAUGACUUCUAGCCAGUAUCCAAGUAUGGUACAAGACUCAGGCAUUUCUAACUCAAAGUAAUUACCAGUGAAGUAGUUGGCGUUCUAGACUUGAAGUUAGAAAAUGGGAUAGUCAAGAAACACAUUUAAAACACAGGAACAGGCUAAGGCUUGGCACUUAUUCCCUGUUUUUUUUUUUUUCAAACCGUCCGCAUGAAAGCCUUUGAUAGUUCUAUUUUAAAUAUUUUGAGAAACCUCUAUACUCUUUUCCUUAGUGGCUAUACAAAUUUAUAUUCCCACAGGUAGUGCAUAAGAGUUCCCUUUCUCCACAUUUUCGCCAACAUUUCUUAUCUUUUCUCUUCUUACAGAUUGCCAUUCUAACAGAUGUGAGGUGGUAUCUCCUGGUGGUUUUGAUCUGCAUUUCCCUGAUGAUUGGUAAUGUUGAACAUCUUUUCAUGUAUCUGUUGGCCAUUUGGAUGUCUUCUUUGAAAAAUAUCUGUUCAUUUCCUCUGUUCAUUUUAUAAUCAGAUUGUUUAUUUUUAUUA